AGUGAACGCUGGCGGUAGGCCUAACACAUGCAAGUCGAACGGCAGCACAGUAAGAGCUUGCUCUUACGGGUGGCGAGUGGCGGACGGGUGAGGAAUACAUCGGAAUCUACCUUUUCGUGGGGGAUAACGUAGGGAAACUUACGCUAAUACCGCAUACGACCUACGGGUGAAAGCAGGGGAUCUUCGGACCUUGCGCGAUUGAAUGAGCCGAUGUCGGAUUAGCUAGUUGGCGGGGUAAAGGCCCACCAAGGCGACGAUCCGUAGCUGGUCUGAGAGGAUGAACAGCCACACUGGAACUGAGACACGGUCAAGACUCCUACGGGAGGCAGCAGUGGGGAAUAUUGGACAAUGGGCGCAAGCCUGAUCCAGCCAUACCGCGUGGGUGAAGAAGGCCUUCGGGUUGUAAAGCCCUUUUGUUGGGAAAGAAAAGCAGCAGGUUAAUACCCCGCUGUUCUGACGGUACCCAAAGAAUAAGCACCGGCUAACUUCGUG
rnacentral:rRNA from 1 species